UACGUAGGGUCCGAGCGUUGUCCGGAGUUACUGGGCGUAAAGCGCGCGCAGGCGGCUCGUCAAGUCUGGCGUGAAAGCCCCCGGCUCAACCGGGGAGGGUCGUCGGAGACUGGCGAGCUUGAGGGCGGUAGGGGCUGGUGGAAUGCCUGGUGUAGUGGUGAAAUGCGUAGAGAUCAGGCGGAACACCCGUGGCGAAGGCGGCCAGCUGGGCCGUCCCUGACGCUGAGGCGCGAAGGCGUGGGGAGCGAACGGG
rnacentral:rRNA from 1 species